AAGACUAUACUUUCAGGGGUCAUUUCUACAGUUCUUCACAAACAAGUAAAAAUACAGGGAAGGUUUUGGAGCAACAACAGAGAAACUGU
rnacentral:snoRNA from 1 species